AACGAACGCUGGCGGCAUGCCUAACACAUGCAAGUCGAACGAGACCUUCGGGUCUAGUGGCGCACGGGUGCGUAACGCGUUGGAACCUGCCCUUAGGUUCGGAAUAACUCCCCGAAAGGGGUGCUAAUACCGGAUAAUGUCUUCGGACCAAAGAUUUAUCGCCUUUGGAUGGGCCCGCGUUGGAUUAGCUAGUUGGUAGGGUAAAAGCCUACCAAGGCGACGAUCCAUAGCUGGUCUGAGAGGAUGAUCAGCCACACUGGGACUGAGACACGGCCCAGACUCCUACGGGAGGCAGCAGUGGGGAAUAUUGGACAAUGGGCGAAAGCCUGAUCCAGCAAUGACGCGUGAGUGAUGAAGGCCUUAGGGUUGUAAAGCUCUUUUACCCGGGAUGAUAAUGACAGUACCGGGAGAAUAAGCUCCGGCUAACUCCGUG
rnacentral:rRNA from 1 species